rnacentral:tRNA from 1 species
GGGGAUUUAGCUCAGUGGUAGAGCACUUGCCUAGUAAGCGCAAGGCCCUGGGUUCGGUUCUCAGCUCCA